AGGAACCAAUGGAGAUUGAUUUAAAAGAAUUCGGGCUUAGUUACGUAGUUCGUAAAAGGUGUAUACUUACCUGUCUUAAUACUGUUUGAGACAGUUGCCCGAAACAACUUUUUAGAGUAAUUUUCAUGAUUUUUAUUUUAUAAACUGUUUUCAUAUGGCUCCCCCUUUUUCUUUCCAUCAGAGAAGUCACUUUGUUGACGAUAAAAGGUAUUUCCUAAGAUAUAGUUAGUAUUGAAAAACUUUGGACAUACCUACCCUCAAUUUUUGAUAUUUUUCUAUACAACUUACAUUCAAUAUUUUUCUUAUUUAUUUAUUUAUUACAUUCUAU